rnacentral:rRNA from 1 species
UGUGAAAACGCCCUUAAAUCCCCAUGGGAUAAGGAGCUGGUUUUUUUGCACCGAAAUUCUGCCCAAAACACCCUAGCUUAUGCCACACCCACAAGGGGUACUCAGCAGUGAUUGACAUUAUUUAUAAGCGCCAGCUUGACUCAGUUAAAGUAAAGAGAGCCGGCAAAUCUGGUGCCAGCCGCCGCGGUUACCCCACGUGGCUCAAAUUGAUUUCUUUCGGCGUAAAGCGUGAUUAAAGUGCCCAUCAACAUUGGAGUUAAACUAAAAUUAACCUGUGACACGCUUAUUUUACAGAAAAGCACAAACGAAAGUUACUUCAAUUUAAACAACUUGAAUUCACGACAGUCAGGACACAAACUGGGAUUAGAUACCCCACUAUGCCCGACCGUAAACUUUAAUUUACACCAUCACCGCCAGAGAACUACGAGCAAAGCUUAAAACUCAAAGGACUUGACGGUCCCCCACAUCCCCCCUAGAGGAGCCUGUCCUUUAAUCGAUAAUCCCCGCUUAACCUCACCAUUCUUAGUCUUUCAGCCUGUAUACCUCCGUCGUCAGCUUACCCCGUGAGCGAAAAUUAGUGAGCUUAAUGUCCACACCGUCUACACGUCAGGUCAAGGUGCAGC